rnacentral:misc_RNA from 1 species
GAUGAAGAACGUAGCGAAAUGCGAUAAGUAAUGUGAAUUGCAGAAUUCAGUGAAUCAUCGAAUCUUUGAACGCACAUUGCGCCCCUUGGUAUUCCGAGGGGCAUGCCUGUUCGAGCGUCAUUAUAACCCCUCAAGCUCAGCUUGGUGUUGGGGCCUGCGGCACUGGCAGCCCUUAAAAUCAGUGGCGGCGCCAUCUGGCUCUAAGCGUAGUAAUUCUUCUCGCUAUGGAGUCCUGGUGGAUGCUUGCCAUCAACCCCCAAUUUUUCUAUGGUUGACCUCGGAUCAGGUAGGGAUACCCGCUGAACUUAAGCAUAUCAAUAAGCGGAGGA